rnacentral:lncRNA from 1 species
CAGCACAGUACGUUUUGAGUACGUACAAUUUUGGUACUCUACGUACAUGAUGUAAAAUGUACGUUUUAAGUACGUACACUGGGGUACAUACCAGUACGUACAGAAGAGUACGUACUAUUACGUCUUAAGUAUGUACUAUGAGAAAGAAGAACUAAAGCAUAUUUAUUACGUUAGGUUAUGUUAACCUAACCUAAUUUAUUUGGUUAGGAACUUUCCACCUCGAGUACAAGUACAGUUUUGAUGUGAUAAUUCAUUGCAAGACAGUUUGAUUUAGAUUUUUUUUUAAUUAUUUUUGGUGUUGGAGCUUAUAUAGUGUGGUUUCCUGUUAUCUUAUUGAGAAGCGGCAAUAAAAAGUCAAAAAUGUAAUGAUACGAAGGUGACGGAGCAAGAAAUUGGACGAUGGUUGAGUAGAGCCGGGGAUCGCUUAAAAACUUUCAAGGAAAAGGAAUCAGAAUAAAAAUUGAAUCUAUUUUUUUUUAAGUAAUAAAGAUAUAUUCAC